CUGGGCUUGGAGUUGAGGGUCAGAUUCUGGUAUUGGGUAUGUGUGACUCCCCAGCACCCCGCGGGUCCCCGGUGGAGUACUCGGCAGCCUUUGGGCUAAUUUUACCUUCUUGGUUUUCAUGAAUCAUUUCCCAUCUGGGGGCGUGCGAGAGAAAUGGAAAUGGCUCUGCCAGCUGGCUGCCAGGGCGCCAGCCACCGUGAGGGCUGUGGUGAGCCCCUCUUGCAGGUUCUUGGGAGGGCCGUCCUCAGGACAGCCACCAGGGCUGUCUCCUUCCAGCCAUGUCCCUGUGCCUUUGGGUUAUCGUGAUAUGGGGUAAAUGAGCCACAG
rnacentral:lncRNA from 1 species